UAAGGGAAGUCGGCAAAACGGAUUCGUAACCUUGGGAUAAGGAUUGGCUCUGAGGAUUGAGCCGGUCGGGCUGGCGACCUGAAGCAGGAACGGCACCGCACCGGGACUCGGCGGGGCUCGCCGUUCACGCGGCGCGGCCAAGCCCGGACCACCGUCGGGACCUUCCUGUGGAAAGCCUCAGCUGCGCGGUGUCUGAGGGCUUCGAGCCCAAAGUGCUAUGCUUCGGCCGGCAAAAAAAACAAAACAAAAAACAGUCAACUCAGAACUGGCAUGGACCGGAGGAAUCCGGCUGUCUAGUUAAAACAAAUCAUUGCAAUGGCCACUUGUCGGUGUUGACGCAAUGUGAUUUCUGCCGAGUGCUCUAAUUGUCAACGUGAAUCUGAUUGCCGACGUGAAGAUAUUCAUCAAAUCGCGGGUAAACGGCGGGAGUAACUAUGACUCUCUUGUCGUGUCGGAGAGGAGUCGUACCUACUCGCGAAAGAAGAGGUAGAGCUGGGGAAGGUCAAUAUUAUUAACCUUA
rnacentral:ncRNA from 2 species